UGCGUAUCGACCACCUCAUGCUAAAGCUGCUGCAGCUGUUCAGGCACAGCUAUUUGGUGGAAGCCCUUCAGGAGAAUUGAGCAAGAAUGCAUUAAAGAACAAGAAAAAAAGGGAGAAACAAAGGGA